rnacentral:rRNA from 1 species
UACGUAGGGGGCAAGCGUUAUCCGGAUUUACUGGGUGUAAAGGGGGCGCAGACGGCGAUGCAAGCCAGGAGUGAAAGCCCGGGGCCCAACCCCGGGACUGCUCUUGGAACUGCGUGGCUGGAGUGCAGGAGGGGCAGGCGGAAUUCCUGGUGUAGCGGUGAAAUGCGUAGAUAUAUGGAAGAACACCAGUGGCGAAAGCGGCUCUCUGGUCUGUAACUGACGUUGAGGCUCGAAAGCGUGGGGAGCAAACAGG